rnacentral:rRNA from 1 species
AUAGACCCGAAACCCGGUGAUCUAGCCAUGGGCAGGUUGAAGGUUGGGUAACACUAACUGGAGGACCGAACCGACUAAUGUUGAAAAAUUAGCGGAUGACUUGUGGCUGGGGGUGAAAGGCCAAUCAAACCGGGAGAUAGCUGGUUCUCCCCGAAAGCUAUUUAGGUAGCGCCUCGUGAACUCAUCUUCGGGGGUAGAGCACUGUUUCGGCUAGGGGGCCAUCCCGGCUUACCAAACCGAUGCAAACUCCGAAUACCGAAGAAUGUUAUCACGGGAGACACACGGCGGGUGCUAACGUCCGUCGUGAAGAGGGAAACAACCCAGACCGCCAGCUAAGGUCCCAAAGUCAUGGUUAAGUGGGAAACGAUGUGGGAAGGCACAGACAGCCAGGAUGUUGGCUUAGAAGCAGCCAUCAUUUAAAGAAAGCGUAAUAGCUCACUGGUCGAGUCGGCCUGCGCGGAAGAUGUAACGGGGCUAAACCAUGCACCGAAGCUGCGGCAGCGACACUUAGGUGUUGUUGGGUAGGGGAGCGUUCUGUAAGCCGUUGAAGGUGACCUGUGAGGGUUGCUGGAGGUAUCAGAAGUGCGAAUGCUGACGUGAGUAACGACA